rnacentral:lncRNA from 1 species
UUCCACUACCUUUUGCACGAUGUGUUGUUAUGUCAUAUGAACACUUCAUAAGUCCAUGUGUCAUAAUCUACAUACAUUUAACUGAUAUAUAUCAUAUUUUAUAGGAAUACUAAUCUAAAUAAAAAAAAUUAAAACUAGCAACAAACUUCUCAUGUUUUAAUAUAAUACUAAGGUAUAGUAAGAGAUAAUAUUAGAGUAAGAUAAGGUUUGACUAAUUUAUUUUUAUUAUUAAAUAAAUAUAUCUCCGAGCUACAUAUUAUUGUAAAUAUUAACUAUUUAACCAUAGAUGUCAUGGUUAUAAAAUAAAUUAUGGGCUUUAAAUUUUAUAAAAAGGAUAUAUAUAAAUAGAUAUGUAACAUUAUGCCAUUACUUUCUAUGACCAUUUGAUGUUUUUCUCCCGUUGCAACGCACAGGUAUAUUAGCUAGUUAUUAUUUAACCAUGAACUAACUAAGUUCAAAAGAUUCGUCUUAUAAAUUAUAGAUAAAUUAUGAAAUUAGCUACUUUUUAUCUAUAUUUAAUGCUCCAUGCAUGUUCCGCAAGAUUUAAUGUGAUGAAAAAUUGUAACAUCCCAAAAAUUCACAUUCAAAAAAAAUCACUCGCAUUAAAAAAAUUAUUUUCAAAAUAUAUUUCAAAAACUAUAAAUCAUUUGAGCUCUAUAGUAUCUCCAUCUAAUUUCUUUUCCAUCCAUUCUAAUUAUCCAUCUUUAAAUAUAACCUGCACCGCAUGGCAUGAGCAUCAUAUGUCCGCUACUUAUCCCUCUUGCUCGCUCGCUCUGCCCGAUACCCGGCAACGGCGCGUGCGCCGACCCCACCACCAUCAGCGCCGCAGCGCACUCACGCCCGGCCCCCUCGCCGAGCGCACUCGCUCGCGCGCGCACCGCGGCAUGCAGGCCCCACCUCUUGCCUUUUCCCGCGUCUCUUUUGCUGUACAAAAAGAUAGCAAGUCGUAACGUACAACUAGGCACCAUUUAUAUUUUUCGCGCACAAAUAAUAGCAAGUACCAGCAAGCUUACAUGCGAGAAAACAUAGCAGUGCACCUACACGAAUAUAUAUCUCAUGCAUGCAUGCAGGACAUGCCACCGACCAUUUGCAUGCACCUGCAUGCAAGGACACAGUGAUUAGGCACCGUCCAUUUGCAUGCAACGUGCAUGCAAAUGGGACAUCGUCCUUUGCAUGAAAUUAGGCACCGACCAUGCGCUACAGUAGCAUUUUUAAUGGCACGCAGCUGAGCGCUUUGGCCUAUAAAAAGCCAGCCUCGGGUGCUCACUCUCACCACCCGAGAAACACGUUCACUCACUCGCUCACUCGCUCUCACUUCGCGUAUACCGACGGCCAUACGCACAAGCCGAGCUCGACUGUCGUCGCAAGACGAGGUGAGCAGCUCAUGAGCAUCUCCUUGCUCUUCUCUAUCUUUCUGUAGUAUUUUUCUGUAUUUUUCCUUGUAUUUGUCUGUACCGAUUCACUGCCAAAAACUCCACGAAUAGAACCAUGACAUACAGAAGAGCUCUAAGGACCCCUGCUAAUUUCUCUCUAACCAUGCAUGUGUAGGCCAUAAGCAUUAACUCCAAGUAGUACAUGCAUGCAUGCAACAUGCACUACCAGCCAAAAUUCAUCUCGUGAAGCAUGUAUUUCUUAAUUAUCGUUAGCCUUUUUCGCAUGAUUAAAGUCCGGCCAUUUUACAAAUGCCACAUGCUAACUCUGAUUUCAAUAAUUCUUUUUCCUAAAUUUAUCUAAAAUCAUGAUCUACCUCCCAUAUUAAUUUCAUGAUUUUUGGAGCUCAUUUGAAUUUAUAUGAUUAUUUAUCUGUGCCUGUUGUCUGUGUCGUUCGUCGCGUAUUUUAGUUGACGGAGUGAACGAACCGGAGAACGAGAACGUUGGAGACGAGUACCGCGAGUUUGACGCCGAGGACCCGGACUGUCAGCAGGAGUUUGCCGAGGACGCCGACGGAGGCAAGUCCAACCGAUCCCCUUUGAUGCAUAUUGAUCCUAUUUUUAAACACAAUCCAUAGAAGCCGUUUUAAAUAUUGCAUGUACGAUAUAUGUACGAAGUAUUUUCGCUGCUUAGUUAAAACCUGUUGAAUAGCCAUCCUUGAAUUGAUAUUACCCGAUAAUUGUCUUGUUCGAACUUAGGAACAAAUAAUAUGCUAUGACAGAAAUAUUAUUAUUUAGUAUGCUUAGGACUUGUUACUCAUCCUGGAUACUCAUCGCUAUAUUUUUUUCAAAUAUAAUGAUUUUAAAGGUAAAAGGUGUGAGUGGUGAAAAUAAAUUGUGGGUAUUAUGAAAGGGUUAAUGAACAAGUUAUAGAUGUGAUUACUAUAGAGAUGGGGCGGAUGGGAUCUCUUUUGGGGAUGCCCUGGUGUUGUGGCUUAUACCUUGCGGGGUUAAGCGUGAAGAUAUCCGCCUUGUCUCGAUUAAGGACUGACUUGAUGAUUCAUCUUGCCUAACUCAUUUAUCGUACAACCACUCGCCUUGCAUGGGAAAGGCUUAGUCUAAAUCCCUCUAGUUAGUAUGGCAAUCACCUGGAGGCAGGUGUGCAACGGGACACUACGUGAUGUAUGUGAAAUUGUGAAAAUGUAUGAAAAGAGCUUUGUGAAUUAUUGUGGUAUCAUGAGAUGUGGCCUUAGUGUUCUCGUGGUGAGCGCCAUUACUUAGCUAUGGAGGGUAUUGACUUUGAUGGAUCUGUGCUUGCACGACGGUGUAAGUUAUGGUAUCCUACUUGUGGAAAAAGUGUACAACCUCUGCAGAGUGUAAAUCUAUCUGGAUAGCCGUGUCCGCGGUCUCGGACGGGUUAUGGUUUGGUUUCAACAACUAGAUGGGUUGGGAUGAGUGAAAAUAUGAGAGUGAGUGUGAUUUUGGAAAUAAAUGGUUGACUGCCAUUAUGUUGUGGGAACAAGGGUUCAACAACACUUAAAAUUGUGACCAAACCCUCAUUUUUAGAAAUACUAUCAUAUGUGGAAAAAGAGUUCUUUUACAACAGUAUUUGUGAAAUGAAACCUUGCAUGUGUAAAAAGAUAGCUUUAUGCAAAUAAAACUAAGCAUCAUCCUUGAUUUAUCCAUAUGCAUAUAUACUGUUAUUCCCUUCCGUAGGGUAAGGUUGGAUUUGCUGAGUACUUUGUACUCACCCUUGCUUUAUUAAACAGAAGAAUAUCCGAACUUCGAUCCGGAAGUGGCGUUCGAGUAAGGUCGUGUCUGCACCCAACUAAGCCUGUGGCAUUGGGACUCGUCAGAUGUUCGAUGGCGAUAUCGUUUGUUUCUGGGUCCUUUGGACCUGUGUUGUAUUUUGGUGUCUUAUUAUUAUAGCGUGCCUUCCUUGCCCACGCUUUCCAAGACUACUGCGCUGAAACUUAUCUGAUGUAAUAAAUGUGUUACUAGCCUCCUGGAACUAGUAUUGUAUCACAUUUGAGUUCCUAGUUUACCAGGGGCGCUUCAAAAAUUUUGAAUUUUUUUUGGAUUUCAUGUGUAACUAAACAAGACCUAAUUAUAGCGAUAAAGUACUUCUCUACAUACCUGCCGAUUUAUUACGAGACGAAGAAAAUAUGCACAAUGAAGCAUUACGGAAAACGAUGGUGACGACUCACGAGCGUCAAAACAAGGCAAUCUCUCUACAGUGAGGAUGGGAAAAUAACAGAAAGUUCAGAUCAGAUCACAGCUCCCAAACACGUACUCCUACUCUUACCCGCUUCCGAGCUCGGACCUAGGAGCGCCGAUACACGACACGGAAGCCGAGCACGCACCAGUAUACUCUUCCCCUUCCUGACCUCCUCCCAGCUCGGCCCCGGCUCCGCAUCUCUCUCUCUCUCGCCCUGCCGUGUGCCGUCUCCGGAGCUGCUCUCACCUCCCCACGCGCGCGCCCUCGACCCCGACUCCGACUCCGUCCCCGCCUCCGCCCCCCCACCCGCUCGGCGCUUUGCGCAGGUAAAUUCCGUGCUCCCCCGCGCUGAUCCGCUCCUAGGGUUUCGGCGCCACGCCGGAUCGAGGAGAAUUCCGAGGUCCUCCUUCGCUGACUUCUUGCCCCCGCUGUUCCAGUCCUUCCAGAUCCCCUUGUCCGGGGAGUGGCGCUGAGGCCUCGCACCGAUGAGCUCGGGGGCCGUCGCGGCCUCGGAUCCUGGGGGUGGCGAGGCGAAGCUGGUGGCGGGCGCUGACGUCACGAUGUCGGAAGCUGAGGGCGAGGUGCCUGCUUUCGCCGCCGAUGUGAAAGUGGAGGGGAAGGCUCCGUUGGCGAUGGAUGUGGCUCAUGAAGGGGGAGAUGUGGCGGUGACCGACCCGCUCUACGCGACCGAGUCGGCUGGUAUGGUUGGUGCCGAAGGGCCCGCAGAGGAGCACAUGGAGGGCGUGGAGGCGGUGAACGGAGAGGACAAUGGCGAGGAGGGGACGCUAGAAGCGGGAGCUGGUGGUCUGCUGACUGAGACAGAGAGGAAGCCUGUUCUGGAGGUAGAUGUGGCUGCUGCUGCUGCUGAUUCUGCCACUCCUGAACAUAAUGAAGCCGGUAAGGAGACUGCUCAGAGCCCUGUGCUUGUAGGUGUGCUCCCUAUUGAUGACACUGAUUUAACUAAACAUCUUGAAUUGUAUUCGCCUAAUUCCAUUUCAGAAUCCAGCGAGCUUGAAGAAAAUCAUGUAAAUGCGGAGCCUGUGAGAAAGAAUAAUGAAAGCGAUAAUGGCUUAGCACAUUCUGAUACGGAAAUACAGAACAAUGUGCCUGGUGACAUAGAGGGAAGCUCCAAGGAACAUGAAGGUGAUGGAGCACCUGCAGUUGACCAGCCGGAUAAUGCAUCUGAAAUGCUGCCACAAACAACAGAGCAGCUUCCUGAAAGUGGAAAUGGACCGGACAGCAACUUAGAGGCUGCUAACCUGGGGAAUGUUCAUCAGGGUGCUAGAUACUGCUUGCCUCCUCUUGAUAAAGGCGGGUUUCAAGUUACUGAUCUUGUCUGGGGUAAAGUGAAAAGUCAUCCUUGGUGGCCUGGUGAAAUUUUUGAUCCAUCAGAUGCAUCUGAGUUGGCGCUGAAGCAUCAGAAAAAGGGCAGCCACUUGGUAGCUUAUUUUGGUGACAAUACUUUUGCAUGGUGCGAUGAAUCCCAGUUGAAGCCUUUCGUAACAAACUAUUCACAGAUGGAGAAACAGAGCACUUCAGAUGCCUUUGUUGGGUCAGUUAAUAAUGCACUUGAAGAACUCUCGAGGCGGAUAUUGUCAGGUAUGAGCUGCUCUUGUUUGCCAGAAGAGCUUGCUGAUAAUGGCAUGUCCUACACUGUUGAUAAUGCUGGGCUCAAGGAUGGAGUUACUUGCUCUGCAGUUAAUCGGCCCGAGAUCUUAAACUGUUUCAGUCCACAAAACCUUCUUCAUUAUAUUAAGGAGUUAGCUCUAUUUCCUGGCCAAGGAGGUGAUCUGUUGGAGUUAGUGAUAGCGUGUUCUCAACUUACUUCUUUCUAUCGAUCUAAGGGAUGUCCUGAACUUGCAUCAUUUCAAACUGGCGAUGCGUGGGUUGAGGAUGGUGAUGGUCUGGAUGGUACAGACACUUUAUCCACCCAGAAUGUAAUGGUCGAGGAGCCUGUGGUUAAUGAAGUGCGUCCUACUCAAGAGAAGCCUAAAAGGGGCAGGGGGAGACCUCGGAAACAAAAACCUGGUGAUGGACAGGUGGUGAUGGAGAAAAGAAGCACAUCUAAUCAGGUCAAUGUUACUAGCUACGUUGAGAAACAAGUGGGUCUGGAGUUUGAUGACUAUGACACCUUACAGAACAAGAAGAAAAGAAACUUCGACUCAUUUGAAGAUUCAGAGAAGUCAUCAGCUCCGACUGGUGGUAGUUCUUUCAAGAUUGGUGAGUGUAUUCGGCGAGCCGCAAGCCAGCUGACAGGAUCUUCAUCCAUUAUGAAGGCUCAGAAUGAACCAUCAGCCUAUAAGUAUGCUGCUGAAGGAGAGAAUGGGGAAUUUGAUAUCUCUAGUGAUGACGCUGGUGAUGAACUUACUGUGGAGAAACGAGCGAAAAGGAGACGCAUGCACAGAAAUCACACUGCAGAUCCCAAGGAAUUACUAUCACAGCUAUGCAUGGUUGCAACAGAGCCAAUGAAUGGUUAUAGUUUCUCACCUAUGAUAAUCAGUUACUUCAAUGAUUACAGAAACUAUAUUGUUUCUACAACUACUGAAGCUAACAUUGUUGAUAAAGGUACAUCUAGGAGAGGGAGGAAGAGAAAAGAAGUUUUAGCUUCUCCUGAGGUAGAGACAACGGACCAUAUGCAGGACUCGUACUGGUCCGGAUUGAGCUUGCAUAAUCACCCAAUUAAUGACCUCAGAAAAGAGAGUCCCAAUACAAGGCCAAGACGUAGGCGGAGAUCCUCAAGACAUGCAUAUGAACCUUUGUCGGAGCUUGGGGAUCCGGUUCCUAAAAAACAGAUACAAGUUAUGGAAAGAUCUAUCAUCCAUGUUGAUGAGAAGAUGGUUGAUGAGUUGAAGCCCACUGCACUUGUUUUGAGCUUUGGCAGAUCAGCUGCUCUUCCUUCAGAGCUGGAUCUUGUUAAGAUGUUUAGUCGCUAUGGGCCACUGAAAGAAGGGGAGACAGAAGUACACAAGGAAACAAAAACUGUUAAAGUUGUCUUCAAAAAACGUGCCGAUGCUGAAAGGGCUUUUAGUGUUGCUGGCAAGUAUGGCACUUUUGGACCUUCGCUUCGAAGUUACCGUCUUGUCAAUAUGCCAUUUUCUCUAGAGACACCAUCAGGAAAUAAUCCUGUGAAACACCCUGAAGACUGUGGCAUGGAGAUUCCAGGUAAACAUUCUUUCAAUUUACAUGCCUAUACAUAGUACUUCUUCUGUUUCAAAACAUGAGUCAUUAUAUUAGUUGUUUAUUAGGAUUUUAAAAGUCAAACAUCAUAAUUUCUUUACCAAUGUUACUCAAAUUAUAUGCAUGUUAGGACAUAAAAGUUGUAUCAACGGAUUCACAUUCCAUAUGGUUCAACACAAGUUGGUUUGCAGCAAUUGAUGGUAUAUAAUAAGAGUACUUGAUAGUGAAAGACUAAAAGUAUACUUCUAGUUGUUUUUUUAAUCCUAAUACGCCUUAGAAAAAGAAACGGGGACAGUAUUUGACAAAGGCCUUGUUCAGUUGGCAAUUUUUUUUGGUUUCGGGUACUGUAGCAUUUUCGUUUGUAUUUGAUAAAUAUUGUCCAAUCAUGAACUAACUAGGCUUAAAAGAUUUAUCUCACAAAUUACAGGCAAAAUGUGUAAUUAGUUUUUGUUUUUGUCUAUAUUUAAUGCUUCAUGCAUGUGCCCGAUUUGAUGUGACGGGGAAUCUUGAAAAAUUUUGGGUACUUUUUGGAAAGUAAACAAGGCCAAAGUUACUCUGCAGCUUCCAUAAAAUUAAAUGCUUAAUUCUGCCAUGUGAUCAUGCCUUUUCUCUAGGUUCGACUAAGUCCGAAGUUCGUAAGGAUUCCAUGGAAGUUGACCUGGUGCAGAAAACAGAUAAAGUAGAAGUUGCAGGAGAGCUGUCGUCUGAAGAAGUUGAGACUGUGAGGCAAACAUCUCAAGUGGAAGCUGCAGACAGUGCAUUUGUCAGUCAAGUUGACAGUCUUGAGAAAGCUGGAAAUAUUGACGCUGAGCUAAUUGACCAUGCUAAUCAAAUUGGGAAAGGUACAGAAGCUGCAUCUGUGCCUGAAGUGUCAUCUCAGCAAGUUGGUAAUGUUGAGGAAGCUUACACUCAAAAGGAAGUGUCAAUCAGUGAUCUACCCACAGAGACAGAAACCUUACAUUCUGAUGCUAUAAUAAAAGAGUUGCCUCAGAAUGAUGCUCCAGAUAAUAUGCAAACAGAUGCAGUCGAAGCUCCAAAACAGAGUCACAUUUCAGGAGACAAUACCGUAUUUGAGGCAGACACUGAAGCACCAAGUACUGCACAAGAUCAUACUGAGGAUGAUACUGGGAAUGAAGUUCUAGAAGAGCACAUGGUAUCUCCAGAGUUAUUACAAAGUCAAACCUCUGGUGAGAAACUAGUGGGAAAGACAGCAACUGAACAAAAAGUGGGACCUGAGGACCCAGAGUCACAAUCUGAAAAUUUUGCUGCUGAACCUGAACCUUUCGUACAAGGUGCAGUUGAGCAAGUAGAAGUGGAAGUGGAAUCCAAAACUACUGUUGAAGUAUCAGGCGAACAAGGCUGUAGUAUUGAGCAGACUGUUCAAGUGGAAGCUGUAAUUGAAGCAUCAGGUGGACAACUUGAGGUGGAAAGACAAAUUUCAGAAGAUGAAUCUAUGGCUGAUGCAACUACUGAGCACUCUACGGUCAUGGUUGAUGAAACUGUGGAGGCAGAAGUAGUACCAGUCCAGGAGCAUACAGAGAAUGCUGCUGCUGCUGCUGUAGGAGUAGUUGAGGAGACUGCUGAAGGCGAAACUAAGGAGGAAGCGCCAGAAGAGAAGGGGAAAAUAGAGAAUGAAGAUUAUGCUGACAAAUUAGCUGAGGCGACCAGGGCAGGCGAAGUUACAGUUGAGACACCAGAUGAGAAAACAGAAAAUAAAGCAGAUGUUGACACACUAGCUGGGGAGACCAAAGAAGUUGAAAUUACAGUAGGGGCACCAGAUGAGAAAAUAGAAAAUGAAGCUAUUGGGGAGACAAUCGAAGGUCAAACUACAGCUGGAGCACCAGUUGAAGAAGCCAUAACAGCUGAGGAAAUGGUAGAGGAUGUUAAGGUGCUAGAUGAUAAACCUGCAGCAGCUGAGAAACCUGUAGAGGAUGUUAAGGUGCUAGAUGAUAAACCUGCAGCAGCUGAGAAACCUGUAGAGAAUGCCACAGUUGUGACACAUGAGAAUUCAACAGUUGAGAAGACUCUGCAGGAUGCCAUUGCGCCAGCAGAUACAAAUACCACACUAGGGGAGGCCCCAACGGUGGAGAAGACUAUAGAGGAUACCUCGGUCGAGGCACC